GGAUGGCCAUGCCGUAGUACGGCGAGUGAGCGGCAACAGCUCAAAUUUGAAAGCUAGCCUUCGGGUUCGCAUUGUAAUUUGUAGAGGAUGCUUUGGGUAAAACGCCAGUCUAAGUUCCUUGGAACAGGACGUCAUAGAGGGUGAGAAUCCCGUAUGUGACUGGAAAUGUUAACCUAUGUAAAGCUCCUUCGACGAGUCGAGUUGUUUGGGAAUGCAGCUCUAAAUGGGAGGUAAAUUUCUUCUAAAGCUAAAUAUUGGCGAGAGACCGAUAGCGCACAAGUAGAGUGAUCGAAAGAUGAAAAGCACUUUGGAAAGAGAGUUAAAAAGCACGUGAAAUUGUUGAAAGGGAAGCGCUUGCAAUCAGACUUGUUUAAACUGUUCGGCCGGUCUUCUGACCGGUUUACUCAGUUUGGACAGGCCAGCAUCAGUUUCGGCGGCCGGAUAAAGGCUCUGGGAAUGUGGCCUCCACUUCGGUGGAGGUGUUAUAGCCCAGUGUGUAAUACGGCCAGCCGGGACUGAGGUCCGCGCUUCGGCUAGGAUGCUGGCGUAAUGGUUGUAAGCGACCCGUCUUAACAC
rnacentral:rRNA from 1 species